UAGGGAAUCUUCCGCAAUGGGCGAAAGCCUGACGGAGCAACGCCGCGUGAGUGAUGAAGGUCUUCGGAUCGUAAAACUCUGUUAUUAGGGAAGAACAUAUGUGUAAGUAACUGUGCACAUCUUGACGGUACCUAAUCAGAAAGCCACGGCUAACUACGUGCCAGCAGCCGCGGUAAUACGUAGGUGGCAAGCGUUAUCCGGAAUUAUUGGGCGUAAAGCGCGCGUAGGUGGUUUUUUAAGUCUGAUGUGAAAGCCCACGGCUCAACCGUGGAGGGUCAUUGGAAACUGGAAAACUUGAGUGCAGAAGAGGAAAGUGGAAUUCCAUGUGUAGCGGUGAAAUGCGCAGAGAUAUGGAGGAACACCAGUGGCGAAGGCGACUUUCUGGUCUGUAACUGACGCUGAUGUGCGAAAGCGUGGGGAUCAAACAGGAUUAGAUACCCUGGUAGUCCACGCCGUAAACGAUGAGUGCUAAGUGUUAGGGGGUUUCCGCCCCUUAGUGCUGCAGCUAACGCAUUAAGCACUCCGCCUGGGGAGUACGACCGCAAGGUUG
rnacentral:rRNA from 1 species